rnacentral:rRNA from 3 species
GUACUCCGGGGAUAACAGGCUGAUACCGCCCAAGAGUUCAUAUCGACGGCGGUGUUUGGCACCUCGAUGUCGGCUCAUCACAUCCUGGGGCUGAAGUAGGUCCCAAGGGUAUGGCUGUUCGCCAUUUAAAGUGGUACGCGAGCUGGGUUUAGAACGUCGUGAGACAGUUCGGUCCCUAUCUGCCGUGGGCGCUGGAGAACUGAGGGGGGCUGCUCCUAGUACGAGAGGACCGGAGUGGACGCAUCACUGGUGUUCGGGUUGUCAUGCCAAUGGCACUGCCCGGUAGCUAAAUGCGGAAGAGAUAAGUGCUGAAAGCAUCUAAGCACGAAACUUGCCCCGAGAUGA